rnacentral:rRNA from 1 species
GACGAACGCUGGCGGCGUGCCUAAUACAUGCAAGUCGAACGCAGUGGGGACGGGUGAGUAACACGUGGGUAACCUCCCAUCAGAGGGGAUAAACCUUGGCUACUGGUGCUAAACCGAUACUGGUGGAUGAACCCGCUGUGCUUUAGCUAGUUGGUGGGGUAACGGCUCACCUAGGCUGAGAGGCAUAGCCGAGCUGAGAGGGUGAUCGGCCACACUGGGACUGAGACACGGCCCAGACGCCUACGGGAGGCAGCAGUGGGGAAUCUUCGGCAAUGGACGAAAGUCUGACCGAGCAACGCCGCGUGAAUGACGAAGGUUUUCGGAUCGUAAAGCUCUGUGGUUGGAGAAGCGGUAUCUGACCAAAAAGCCACGGCUAACUACGUGCCAGCAGCCGCGGUAAUUC